GACGAACGCUGGCGGCGUGCCUAAUACAUGCAAGUCGAGCGAAGUUUUUCUGGUGCUUGCACUAGAAAAACUUAGCGGCGAACGGGUGAGUAACACGUAAAGAACCUGCCUCAUAGACUGGGACAACUAUUGGAAACGAUAGCUAAUACCGGAUAACAGUAUUUCUCGCAUGAGAGAUAUUUAAAAGUUGGUUAUGCUAACACUAUGAGAUGGCUUUGCGGUGCAUUAGCUAGUUGGUGGGGUAAAGGCCCACCAAGGCGACGAUGCAUAGCCGACCUGAGAGGGUGAUCGGCCACACUGGGACUGGGACACGGCCCAGACUCCUACGGGAGGCAGCAUUAGGGAAUCUUCCGCAAUGGGCGAAAGCCUGACGGAGCAACGCCGCGUGAGUGAAGAAGGAUUUCGGUUCGUAAAGCUCUGUUGUUAGGGAAGAAUGGAUAUGUAGUAACUAUACAUGUAAGAGACGGUACCUAACCAGAAAGCCACGGCUAACUACGUG
rnacentral:rRNA from 1 species